UACAGAGGGUGCGAGCGUUAAUCGGAAUUACUGGGCGUAAAGCGCACGUAGGCGGCUUGGUAUGUCGGGUGUGAAAUCCCCGGGCUCAACCUGGGACCUGCAUUUGUGACUGUAUAGCUAGAGUACGGUAGAGGGGGAUGGAAUUCCAGGUGUAGCGGUGAAAUGCGUAGAGAUCUGGAGGAAUACCGGUGGCGAAGGCGGCCCCCUGGACAAAGACUGACGCUCAGGUGCGAAAGCGUGGGGAGCAAACAGG
rnacentral:rRNA from 1 species